UACGAAGGGGCUAGCGUUGCUCGGAAUCACUGGGCGUAAAGCGCACGUAGGCGGCUUUCUAAGUCAGGGGUGAAAUCCUGGAGCUCAACUCCAGAACUGCCUUUGAUACUGGGAAGCUCGAGUCCGGAAGAGGUGAGUGGAACUCCGAGUGUAGAGGUGAAAUUCGUAGAUAUUGGGAAGAACACCAGUGGCGAAGGCGGCUCACUGGCCCGUAACUGACGCUGAGGUGCGAAAGCGUGGGGAGCAAACAGG
rnacentral:rRNA from 1 species